GUGGGGAAUCUUAGACAAUGGGGGAAACCCUGAUCUAGCCAUGCCGCGUGAGCGAUGAAGGCCUUAGGGUUGUAAAGCUCUUUCGUGGGGGAAGAUAAUGACUGUACCCCAAGAAGAAGCCCCGGCUAACUCCGUGCCAGCAGCCGCGGUAAUACGGAGGGGGCUAGCGUUGUUCGGAAUUACUGGGCGUACAGCGCACGUAGGCGGACUGGAAAGUCAGGGGUGAAAUCCCGGGGCUCAACCCCGGAACUGCCUUUGAAAGUCCCAGUCUUGAGUUCGAGAGAGGUGAGUGGAAUUCCGAGUGUAGAGGUGAAAUUCGUAGAUAUUCGGAGGAACACCAGUGGCGAAGGCGGCUCACUGGCUCGAUACUGACGCUGAGGUGCGAAAGCGUGGGGAGCAAACAGGAUUAGAUACCCGGGUAGUCC
rnacentral:rRNA from 1 species